rnacentral:pre_miRNA from 1 species
AGCCUUCUGUAUCCGUGCUGAGAUUUCGUCAGAGAUGUACCCGUUGAGGCUGAUGGUACUUCCCGAAUAAGUGAAGCG